GACGAACGCUGGCGGCGUGCUUAACACAUGCAAGUCGAACGGAAAGGCCUCUUUCGGGGGGUACUCGAGUGGCGAACGGGUGAGUAACACGUGAGUAACCUGCCCUUGACUUUGGGAUAACUUCAGGAAACUGGGGCUAAUACCGGAUAGGAGCUCCUGCUGCAUGGUGGGGGUUGGAAAGUUUCGGCGGUUGGGGAUGGACUCGCGGCUUAUCAGCUUGUUGGUGGGGUAGUGGCUUACCAAGGCUUUGACGGGUAGCCGGCCUGCGAGGGUGACCGGCCACAUUGGGACUGGGCUACGGCCCAGACUCCUACGGGUGGCAGCAGUGGGGAAUAUUGCACAAUGGGUGGAAGCCUGAUGCAGCAACGCCGUGUGCGUGAUGACGGCCUUCGGGUUGUAAACCGCUUUCGCUCAUGACGAAGCUUUGUGUGACGGUAGUGGGUAAAGAAGCACCGGCUAACUACGUG
rnacentral:rRNA from 1 species